GAGGGUAUAGCUCAGUGGUAGAGAGCAUGCUUAGCAUGCAUGGUUCUGGGUUCAGUCCCCAGUAUCUCCA
rnacentral:tRNA from 1 species